UACGAAGGGGGCAAGCGUUGUUCGGAAUCACUGGGCGUAAAGCGCACGUAGGCGGAUUUUUAAGUCUGGGGUGAAAUCCCGAGGCUCAACCUCGGAACUGCCUUUGAUACUGGAGAUCUUGAGUCCGGAAGAGGUAAGUGGAACUGCGAGUGUAGAGGUGAAAUUCGUAGAUAUUCGCAAGAACACCAGUGGCGAAGGCGGCUUACUGGUCCGGAACUGACGCUGAGGUGCGAAAGCGUGGGGAGCAAACAGG
rnacentral:rRNA from 1 species